rnacentral:rRNA from 1 species
GACGAACGCUGGCGGCGUGCUUAACACAUGCAAGUCGAACGAUGAAGCCCAGCUUGCUGGGUGGAUUAGUGGCGAACGGGUGAGUAACACGUGGGCAACCUGCCCCAAACUCUGGGAUAACUCCUCGAAAGAGGUGCUAAUACCGGAUACGAACUAGACAGACAUCUGUACUAGUUGGAAAGUUUUUCGGUUUGGGAUGGGCCCGCGGCCUAUCAGCUUGUUGGUGAGGUAACGGCUCACCAAGGCUACGACGGGUAACCGGCCUGAGAGGGCGACGGGUCACACUGGGACUGAGACACGGCCCAGACUCCUACGGGAGGCAGCAGUGGGGAAUAUUGCUCAAUGGGCGAAAGCCUGACGCAGCGACGCCGCGUGAGGGAUGAAGGUCUUCGGAUCGUAAACCUCUUUCAGUAGGGACGAAGCGAAAGUGACGGUACCUGCAGAAGAAGCACCGGCUAACUACGUGCCAGCAGCCGCGGUAAAAC